UCCAUUUCAAGAUCAAAUGAUCUCAUAGGUUUUGGCAACUCUACCUCAGACAGAUGGAAUAGUAAGAAAAUCCCCUUUGCUGCCAAGAAACAAGAAAAAUGAUGAUAUCAUAUUCAGGUGCUUUCCUCUAUUCCAUUUAUUCUGCAUUGCAAUGAUGUUAUGAAGGGAAAGGUAAAUACACAUAUUCUCUGACAAAGUUUCCCUGCACAUGGAAGAAUGAAGAAAAAUAGGGGGAAAAAUGUGUUGGAGGUUUUUCGUUUUGGUUUGGUUUUUUGUCCAGAGGGCUGCAUUAACAGGACUUUCAUAUAUAAGGUGCAAAGGUGGUUGUUCUGUUUUUCUUGUUGCAUGUGACCCUUCAGAUGGACAAAUAUAUUGUACGUGGAUCUUAACCUUCCAACAAGAAAGAAGGAAUAACCAUGUUAAGUGACCAGCUUAUGACUUAACAUCCUCCUUUAUUGUCUUCUUUGAAGGAAGUUGUUUCUCAACAAUUUUUCAGUCCAUCUGGAGAAGAAUGAUUUCCUAAAGGUAUCCACAGACUUCAUUUAGAUUUUAGGAUCACUCUUCCCACAACUAAUUGGAAAUGGUAUCUCUGUUUACCAGAAGACUGGCAGGCAAGAAAUGCAGGCACAUAUAUAAGAAUAAAAUGUAAAAUCUCCUGAAAACCAACUGCUCUUUAAACACUUGUUUGUUUGUUUGUUUGUUUUUCCUAAGAUGAUGGCAACACUGAUUUAUAUUUAACUUUGAUUUAUUCAGAUAUUGGUGGUGUUUUCCUUUCUUUUUUUUUUCUAUUUGCUAUGGCAGUUUCUCCUGAGAUGUUAUAUAUGCUAUUUGUCCUAAACUGAACUGUAACCUUU